CGGUAAGGGGCGUAUCCACAAGAAGUGGAGCUUUGUCGGAAACAACUUAAUUUGCCGACUCAACACGGGGGAUAACAUAUUACCAAGGUCCAAACUUAUCGAGGUAAGACAGAUUGAUAGCUCUUUCUCAAAUUUAAGGGUAGUAGGGUGCAUGGCCGUUCUUAGUUCGUGGAAUGAUUUGUCUGGUUAAUUCCGAUAACCGAACGUGACUCAAACAUGCUAACUUAGAACGCUGUCAGCAGUGCGCCUCCGGGCGCACCUGACGUUACAGCCGGGCGGCGCCUUCACGGGCGGUCGUUCGGCUACGUUUUGCCCUGCUUAGCGGGACAACUUGUUGUUUAGCAAGCUGAGAAUGAGCGAUAACAGGUCCGUGAUGCCCUUAGAUUGUUCUGGGCUGCACGCGUGCUACCAAUGUGGGUCGCAGCGUGUUCUCGCCAAUAGGCGCCCCAUUCCGAGAGGAACGGGAAAAUCACUAAAAUGCCCAUCUAGUCGGGAUUGGGGACUGCAACGGUCCCCAUGAACCUGGAAUUUCUAGUAAGCACUAGUCAUUUAGCUAGUGCUGAUUACGUCCCUGCCCUUUG
rnacentral:rRNA from 1 species